rnacentral:lncRNA from 1 species
AGACUAGGAUAGGAGCAGAGAGGUCACAAGUCACAGGCAGGGCAAGUUCAGAGCAGGGAGGCUUGUGGAAUUUUUAUUAAACUACUCCCCAAUAUGUCACCUGAGAAGUUCCACGAAAAGGAAAUCCCACUUUUUUUUUUGGUGAGCUUCCCAUAGAAUAUCCAUAGGUGUUGGUUUGUUUUUCUUUUUCUUCCUUAGACGGCACGUGAACAACCCCUCCAGACUCCUGUCCAGGUAAACCUCCUGUGUCUGGGGAUUCUGGAAGGUGUGGGCAGAAGAGAAGGAUCAGGGCUUUUGAUCUUGAUUCACUGCUCACUCUUCAGUCUACCUUAUCCUACCAUAGGUUGCUGUGUGUACAGAUAUCUAAUAAGGUGUUCUUACUGUUGUUUUCUUUGCAAAAAUGGAAAUGGGUAUGACAAGCAUAGAAUUUUAAGUUCCCACUUCUUGUUAAAGCUUCAGAGACAUUAUAGGUCCACACAGCUGGACAUUCUUAUUUUUCUCUCAUGUGUGACAAAAUGUCAUCAUGUAAGUGGGAAAAAUAACCAUGCUGAUUAAGUUUGUAUGAAAUAUCUCUAAGGAAAGCAUCUAAUUCAUUUGUGUAAGGCCUAAUGAUUUGCACUCUGGAAUACCCAGGACUGUUGUCUUUAUCUUUUGCAAUAUAGCAGUCAUCUGCAAUGGGAUGCAAAGGGGAAAGGUGGGCCAGAAAAAUGGAGGAAAAUGAAACGAAAGUCAAUUUCCAUCAUUGAUCUCAAUAUUUGCAGGUAAAAUACAGACAUACUAUGAGGUCUCAGUCACUAUAAUUUACCUUUUUGUUGCUUUUUCUGUGUAACAUGGGGAGGACUAUUCCUUAAGAUGGGAUUUAGAUAAAGUAGAAAAUUGCACAUUCAGAAAAUAAGCUAGUAUGAGUUUUUAGGAAAAUGUGUUUGAAAGCUAAAAGGUAUUUGGUACCUAGUAAAUAAACAGUAGGGAUACCUCUCUUCCAAAAAAGGGAAGCUGUCUUUCUUGGGCUGGAAAACUUGUUGGCAUUUUACUUGCAUUUUUGUCUCAUUUUUUUUCCUUCCAGUUCCUACCUGACAUUUUUACUACCUGCACCUUAAAACAUCGUUCAUUUACCAAGUGUCCAUGGAGGUCCUAAUACCUGUUUUACACAGUGUUAGUUGGCCUGGCCCCUGUCUGUGAAUUCCUAUUUUCAAAUGCCUCUUGCAAUAAAUAAGUAAGUGAAUGAGUGAGUAAACAAGUAAUCAGUAUUCAUUCUUUCACACACUUGGCUGCCACAACCAUGUGUAACCUCAGUGGCUUAGAGCAAUAGAAGUGUGCUCCCUCCAAGUCUGGAGGCAGCAAGUCUGAGAUCAUGGUGUUAGCAGGGUCUCACUCCCUCUCAUGCUCUAGAGAAGUCUUUCUUAGUUUGGUCCCAGCUUCUGGUGACAGCUGGUUGUCCUUGGCAUCCUGUGGCUUGCAGACAUCUCAAACUCUGCCUCCUCAUUCACCUGGUUUUCUUUACUUCGUUUCUUCACCUGGCUUUCUUCACUCGAGUGUGUCUCUGUACCUUAAUUUUUCUCUUCUCCUUCCAUUUAUUGGGCUAAGGCCACCCUAAUCCAGCAUGACCUCAUUUUAACUACAUCUGUGAUGACCCUCAGAGACCAUAAGGUUCAUUUGUGAAGUGCUGGUGGGCUCAACAUACUUUUUUUGAGGAGACAGAUUUCCACCCACGAUGUACAUCUAUGCAAACAUACAUGCAUAAAUAAACACAUCCAGAGAAAUACACAUAGGAAUAGAGAACUCGUUACUAAAACAUAGAAUGAAGGGACUAAACAUAGGGCCAGGAUAAAGAGAAGAACCCUUGAAGAGCAUCAAUUAACAAUGAGUUAGAAAGUACAGUGGCAGGUGGACCCAGGAUAAAAACUUGUGAGGAAUUUGCACUGAACACAGGGCUGGUGUCAUUCAGACUCACAUGCUGCCUCAGGGGAAUGAGGGUCAUAUAUAGCACAUAGAUUUUAUUCUAUUGCCUGUUCUCUCACUAGCAAAGAAAAAUCACUUUGUAUUUGUCACAAUUUUCUGACAUCUAGUAAUGAUUUUUGAAGUAUUUAUUAUUAUAUUAAUUUAUUAAAAUUCCCAGAGAAUACUCCUGGAAUUUUGGGUAGUGCUGUAUACAACAGAAAUGUCAAUUCUCAUUUAAUGCAUUGAUAUUGUUAGCAUGUUUUAGAAGCAUGGAUAAUAGCAAAUUGAGUUUAUCAUCUACUUGCCACCAUUGCUUUUCUGUUACAUUCUUAGUGAUUUCUUCCUCAUGUUAUUUCUCAUUUCUCCCUUCAGCAUUUUCACCCUUUCAUUUUCUCUAUUUUUUCCUGUUGCCUCUCAAUCUUAAUCACUUAGAUAGAUGCAUUUUUUUUCUUUCAAUUGGCACUUAACAAUGAGAAUUUUAAGCUUUUCUAUCCUUACUUCAGGUGGAAUUGCUACCUGCUCUUUUCCCUAAAUUCAUUCUGUUCUGUAGGCUAUUUUCCUUGAAAUUAUAAAAAGAUACAUUCACAAUAGAGAAUGGGUAAUCAACAGGACAAUGCAGGCAGUCAUCUUUGCAUAUAUUACCCAGCUGAUUGAGAUUCAACAAAUGUACUCUUUUAUGUAGCAAGAAUGAUGGAGAUUCCAAGUAAUGAAAUGUGGAUAAAGUAAACAUUCUUUAAAACCCAUAUCUGAAUACAAUGUGUGUAGUUUCAUGGAUUUGAAUAUUUUAAAUCAUAAAUCACCAGUAAUAUUUGGUCAAUAGGUUCUUUUAUUUUAUAAAAUUUAUAUAGAAAUAUCUUCAAAUGAAAGUAGUGGUAGUGUUUUAACAUAACAUACGCUAUAGUUUUAAGAAUACUGGAUGAUGAAUGUUAAAAUAUAGAGCUAUUCAUAUUUUUGUCUUAAAUUUCAUUGGGUAAUUUAUCAUGAGCAUGCAAAUAACUACCAACAAACGUAUUUGUGUAUAAGAAAGGUAUUAUAAUGGAAGAAUAUUUUUCCAUUUUGUUUGUUAAAUUUGCAUUGAAGUCUACUUGGUUGGGAAGUUACAGUUGCUUUCUAAGCCCUUAUGUUAAUUUUAGAAACAAGCAGGCUUUCCCCUCCAGAGCUCCACUUCUCCAAAUUGGUUUACUCUCUGUCUUUCCAUUUUUCUGAGCCUCUUACCUGGAAGCUUGAUUUGAUUGAACAGAAUCCAAGGAUGCCAUUCACAUUCUUUCCCUGUAGGCUCUGAGAUCUUCUGUCUGUACAUACUUAGGACAUUGAUGUAUUUACUGGGUGGGAAUGAGUAGAAUCAAGUAGACCUCUUUUUUUUAACAGAAUAAUUAUUAAAAAUAAGGUAAGUUGGUCAUUUUCAUUUCUUGGCCAUUGUCCUUCUCUAUGAGACGAGGCAUGGGAGGAACU